rnacentral:lncRNA from 1 species
UGGAGUUGUAGCGUGCUUAUAGAUUUGGUUGCAAAGAUUAACUGUUUCGAUAUAUACUGACAGGUAUUUGAGCCUUUCAAAGUCGCUGCUGAGUCACUAAAGUGAAAACUGAAUGAUACUCACGUGGAAAGUUUAAGGUUGUAUUUUCUUCCUUGACUUCAGACUUCAACUUUUUAGGGCUCGACAUCUCUUUCGAUGAUGGAUGUUGUGACAGUCUUUUGACGCUUUCCGUAGGACUAUAACCAAGAUUUAUCAUAAUAGUAGCCCUAAAAAUCGAGAGAGAAGUAUAAAUGCAUUUUUGUGCAACACCUGCUGUAGCCUGUGACUGAGAAAUCACUGUGUAGAAUGUAUAUGGAGAUACCAUCCCUGAUUUGGGAAAUUCUGAGCAACAAACAGAGGAAGCCUUUUAAAAGCACCUGGGGAACGUAUCAUGAGGGAAAUAAAAGAUACCGAAAACUGCAGUGCUGUGAAAGGGGAUGGCUUUCAGGAGAUGCUACGGCAGAGGAGUACGUUGCCAGGGUAACAGAGUGUAAGCAGGAGAACAGCACCUUGCAGAUCACAAAGGCAAAUCUGCAGAAAGAAAUUUCAAGCACAACAGUAAGAAAACACUUGGAGCUGAAGCUGACCACGCAAGAGAAGAGCUGCAUGCAAGACAGGACUACAGCGUUCUUAGCAAAUUGGGCAUGA